UUAAGAGCUUGCUCUUAUGAAGUUAGCGGCGGACGGGUGAGUAACACGUGGGUAACCUGCCCAUAAGACUGGGAUAACUCCGGGAAACCGGGGCUAAUACCGGAUAACAUUUUGAACUGCAUGGUUCGAAAUUGAAAGGCGGCUUCGGCUGUCACUUAUGGAUGGACCCGCGUCGCAUUAGCUAGUUGGUGAGGUAACGGCUCACCAAGGCAACGAUGCGUAGCCGACCUGAGAGGGUGAUCGGCCACACUGGGACUGAGACACGGCCCAAACUCCUACGGGAGGCAGCAGUAGGGAAUCUUCCGCAAUGGACGAAAGUCUGACGGAGCAACGCCGCGUGAGUGAUGAAGGCUUUCGGGUCGUAAAACUCUGUUGUUAGGGAAGAACAAGUGCUAGUUGAAUAAGCUGGCACCUUGACGGUACCUAACCAGAAAGCCACGGCUAACUACGUGCCAGCAGCCGCGGUAAUACGUAGGUGGCAAGCGUUAUCCGGAAUUAUUGGGCGUAAAGCGCGCGCAGGUGGUUUCUUAAGUCUGAUGUGAAAGCCCACGGCUCAACCGUGGAGGGUCAUUGGAAACUGGGAGACUUGAGUGCAGAAGAGGAAAGUGGAAUUCCAUGUGUAGCGGUGAAAUGCGUAGAGAUAUGGAGGAACACCAGUGGCGAAGGCGACUUUCUGGUCUGUAACUGACACUGAGGCGCG
rnacentral:rRNA from 1 species